rnacentral:rRNA from 1 species
GUGGGGAAUAUUGCACAAUGGGGGAAACCCUGAUGCAGCGACGCCGCGUGAGUGAAGAAGUAUUUCGGUACGUAAAGCUCUAUCAGCAAGGAAGAAAAUGACGGUACUUGACUAAGAAGCCCCGGCUAACUACGUGCCAGCAGCCGCGGUAAUACGUAGGGGGCAAGCGUUAUCCGGAUUUACUGGGUGUAAAGGGAGCGUAGACGGUAUGGUAAGUCAGAUGUGAAAGCCCGGGGCUCAACCCCGGGACUGCAUUUGAAACUAUCAGACUAGAGUGCAGGAGAGGUAAGUGGAAUUCCUAGUGUAGCGGUGAAAUGCGUAGAUAUUAGGAAGAACACCAGUGGCGAAGGCGGCUUACUGGACUGUAACUGACGUUGAGGCUCGAAAGCGUGGGGAGCAAACAGGAUUAGAAACCCCUGUAGUCC